AUUGAACGCUGGCGGCAGGCCUAACACAUGCAAGUCGAGCGGAUGAAGGGAGAUUGCUUCUGGAUUCAGCGGCGGACGGGUGAGUAAUGCAUAGGAAUCUGCCUGGUAGUGGGGGAUAACGUCCGGAAACGAGCGCUAAUACCGCAUAAGUGCUGAGGGAGAAAGUGGGGGAUCUUCGGACCUCACGCUAUCAGAUGAGCCUAGGUCGGAUUAGCUAGUUGGUGGGGUAAAGGCCUACCAAGGCGACGAUCCGUAACUGGUCUGAGAGGAUGAUCAGUCACACUGGAACUGAGACACGGUCCAGACUCCUACGGGAGGCAGCAGUGGGGAAUAUUGGACAAUGGGCGAAAGCCUGAUCCAGCCAUGCCGCGUGUGUGAAGAAGGUCUUCGGAUUGUAAAGCACUUUAAUUUGGGAGGAAGAGCAGUAAGUUAAUACCUUGCUGUUUUGACGUUACCAACAGAAUAAGCACCGGCUAACUUCGUG
rnacentral:rRNA from 1 species